rnacentral:rRNA from 1 species
GAUGAACGCUGGCGGUAUGCUUAACACAUGCAAGUCGAACGGACUCUUCGGAGUUAGUGGCGGACGGGUGAGUAACGCGUGAGAAUCUGGCUUUGGGUUCGGGACAACCACUGGAAACGGUGGCUAAUACCGGAUGUGCCGAGAGGUAAAAGAGAAAUUGCCUGCAGAUGAGCUCGCGUCUGAUUAGCUAGUCGGUGAGGUAAAGGCUCACCAAGGCAGCGAUCAGUAGCUGGUCUGAGAGGAUGACCAGCCACACUGGGACUGAGACACGGCCCAGACUACUACGGGAGGAAGCAGGGGGGAAUUUUCCGCAAAGGGCGAAAGCCUGACGGAGGAAUACCGCGUGAGGGAAGAAGGCUCUUGGGUUGUAAACCUCUUUUCUUAGGGAAGAACAAAAUGACGGUACCUAAGGAAUCAGCAUCGGCUAACUACGUG